UGGGGAAUAUUGGACAAUGGACCGAGAGUCUGAUCCAGCAAUUCUGUGUGCACGAUGAAGUUUUUCGGAAUGUAAAGUGCUUUCAGUUGGGAAGAAAAAAAUGACGGUACCAACAGAAGAAGUGACGGCUAAAUACGUGCCAGCAGCCGCGGUAAUACGUAUGUCACGAGCGUUAUCCGGAUUUAUUGGGCGUAAAGCGCGUCUAGGUGGUUAUGUAAGUCUGAUGUGAAAAUGCAGGGCUCAACUCUGUAUUGCGUUGGAAACUGUAUAACUAGAGUACUGGAGAGGUAAGCGGAACUACAAGUGUAGAGGUGGAAUUCGUAGAUAUUUGUAGGAAUGCCGAUGGGGAAGCCAGCUUACUGGACAGAUACUGACGCUAAAGCGCGAAAGCGUGGGUAGCAAACAGGAUUAGAUACCCUGGUAGUCCACGCUGUAAACGAUGAUUACUAGGUGUUGGGGGUCGAACCUCAGCGCCCAAGCAAACGCGAUAAGUAAUCCGCCUGGGGAGUACGUACGCAAGUAUG
rnacentral:rRNA from 1 species